rnacentral:rRNA from 1 species
GUACUGAGACACGGACCAGACUCCUACGGGAGGCAGCAGUGAGGAAUAUUGGACAAUGGGCGCAAGCCUGAUCCAGCCAUGCCGCGUGCAGGAAGACGGUCCUAUGGAUUGUAAACUGCUUUUGCACAGGAAGAAACAUCCCGACGUGUCGGGACUUGACGGUACUGUGAGAAUAAGGAUCGGCUAACUCCGGUGCCAGCAGCCGCGGUAAU